rnacentral:tRNA from 1 species
CCUGAAGGCUCAGACGGUAAAGAAUCUGCCUGCAAUGCAGAAGACCCAGGUUCAAUCCCUGGGUCAGGA